UCGAGUAGACCAAGGCGCUUGAGAGAACUCUGCUGAAGGAACUAGGCAAAAUGGUACCGUAACUUCGGGAGAAGGUACGCUGUUGUUGGUGAUGGAACUCGCUUCCUGAGCUGACGACAGCCGCAGAAACCAGGCCGCUGCAACUGUUUAUUAAAAACAUAGCACUCUGCAAACACGAAAGUGGACGUAUAGGGUGUGAUGCCUGCCCGGUGCUGGAAGGUUAAUUGAUGGGGUUAGCGUAAGCGAAGCUCUUGAUCGAAGCCCCAGUAAACGGCGGCCGUAACUAUAACGGUCCUAAGGUAGCGAAAUUCCUUGUCGGGUAAGUUCCGACCUGCACGAAUGGCAUAAUGAUGGCGGCGCUGUCUCCAGCAGAGGCUCAGUGAAAUCGAAAUCGCUGUGAAGAUGCAGUGUACCCGCGGCUAGACGGAAAGACCCCGUGAACCUUUACUGCAGCUUGACACUGAACUUUGACCUUACUUGUGUAGGAUAGGUGGGAGGCUUUGAAGCUGGAACGCUAGUUCCAGUGGAGCCGUCCUUGAAAUACCACCCUGGUAAUGUUGAGGUUCUAACUCUGUCCCGUGAUCCGGGACGAGGACCGUGUCUGGUGGGUAGUUUGACUGGGGCGGUCUCCUCCUAAAGAGUAACGGAGGAGUACGAAGGUGCGCUCAGCGUGGUCGGAAAUCACGCGUAGAGUAUAAAGGCAAAAGCGCGCUUAACUGCGAGACCCACAAGUCGAGCAGGUACGAAAGUAGGUCUUAGUGAUCCGGUGGUUCUGUAUGGAAGGGCCAUCGCUCAACGGAUAAAAGGUACUCUGGGGAUAACAGGCUGAUACCGCCCAAGAGUUCAUAUCGACGGCGGUGUUUGGCACCUCGAUGUCGGCUCAUCUCAUCCUGGGGCUGAAGCAGGUCCCAAGGGUAUGGCUGUUCGCCAUUUAAAGAGGUACGCGAGCUGGGUUUAGAACGUCGUGAGACAGUUCGGUCCCUAUCUACCGUGGGCGCUGGAAAUUUGAGAGGAUCUGCUCCUAGUACGAGAGGACCAGAGUGGACGAACCUCUGGUGUACCGGUUGUGACGCCAGUCGCAUCGCCGGGUAGCUAUGUUCGGAAGGGAUAACCGCUGAAAGCAUCUAAGCGGGAAGCCUACCUCAAGAUAAGAUUUCCCUAGGACUUUAUGUCCUCUAAAGAGCCGUUCGAGACUAGGACGUUGAUAGGUUGGAUGUGGAAGCAUAGUGAUAUGUGAAGCUGACCAAUACUAAUUGCUCGUGAGGCUUGACUAU
rnacentral:rRNA from 1 species